rnacentral:rRNA from 1 species
UACAGAGGUCUCAAGCGUUGUUCGGAUUCAUUGGGCGUAAAGGGUGCGUAGGCGGCGCGGUAAGUCGGGUGUGAAAUCUCGGAGCUUAACUCCGAAACUGCAUUCGAUACUGCUGUGCUCGAGGACUGGAGAGGAGACUGGAAUUUACGGUGUAGCGGUGAAAUGCGUAGAUAUCGUAAGGAAGACCAGUGGCGAAGGCGGGUCUCUGGACAGUUCCUGACGCUGAGGCACGAAGGCCAGGGGAGCAAACGGG